GACGAACGCUGGCGGCGUGCUUAACACAUGCAAGUCGAACGGGGUGUUUAUUUCGGUAAACACCAAGUGGCGAACGGGUGAGUAACGCGUAAGCAAUCUACCUUCAAGAUGGGGACAACACUUCGAAAGGGGUGCUAAUACCGAGUGAAUGUAAGAGUAUCGCAUGAAACACUUACUAAAGGAGGCCUCUGAAUAUGCUUCCGCUUGAAGAUGAGCUUGCGUCUGAUUAGCUAGUUGGUGAGGGUAAAGGCCCACCAAGGCGACGAUCAGUAGCGGGUCGGAGAGGAUGAACGGCCACAUUGGGACUGAGACACGGCCCAGACUCCUACGGGUGGCAGCAGUGGGGAAUCUUCCGCAAUGGGCGAAAGCCUGACGGAGCAACGCCGCGUGAACGAUGAAGGUCUUAGGAUCGUAAAGUUCUGUUGUUAGGGACGAAGGGUAAGAAUCAUAAUACGGUUUUUAUUUGACGGUACCUAACGAGGAAGCCACGGCUAACUACGUGCCAGCAGCCGCCGUAAUAC
rnacentral:rRNA from 1 species